rnacentral:rRNA from 1 species
AAUACCGCAUGAUACCUUAGGGUCAAAGGCGCAAGUCGCCUGUGGAGGAGCCUGCGUUUGAUUAGCUUGUUGGUGGGGUAAUGGCCUACCAAGGCGAUGAUCAAUAGCUGGUCUGAGAGGAUGAUCAGCCACACUGGGACUGAGACACGGCCCAGACUCCUACGGGAGGCAGCAGUGGGGAAUAUUGGACAAUGGGGGCAACCCUGAUCCAGCAAUGCCGCGUGUGUGAAGAAGGUUUUCGGAUUGUAAAGCACUUUCGGCGGGGACGAUGAUGACGGUACCCGCAGAAGAAGCCCCGGCUAACUUCGUGCCAGCAGCCGCGGUAAUACGAAGGGGGCUAGCGUUGCUCGGAAUGACUGGGCGUAAAGGGCGUGUAGGCGGUUUGUACAGUCAGAUGUGAAAUCCCCGGGCUUAACCUGGGAGCUGCAUUUGAUACGUGCAGACUAGAGUGUGAGAGAGGGUUGUGGAAUUCCCAGUGUAGAGGUGAAAUUCGUAGAUAUUGGGAAGAACACCGGUGGCGAAGGCGGCAACCUGGCUCAUAACUGACGCUGAGGCGCGAAAGCGUGGGGAGCAAACAGGAUUAGAUCCUGGGGUAAUUCAAGGCGGCUGUCUAGUCUGUAAC